GGCGCGGUGGGAGAGUGGCUAUCCAGCGGAUUGCAAAUCCGUUUACACCGGUUCGAAUCCGGUCCGCGCCUCCA
rnacentral:tRNA from 1 species